UCUUAUAAGUCAUUUGCUCUGCUCUCAUGGAUCUCUCUCUCAAUAUCACUCUCCUCUCUCACUUCUCAUUCGGACAACGAAGUCCCUCUCCUACCCUCCACCUCCUUUCCAAUCUUUCUCACCAACCAUCAUUCUCUCACCAUCGCUCUCUUCUCUAGUCUUCUCACUUCUCAGUCUCAAAGCCGAAGUCGAUCGAAAGUUUGAAAUCCUAGAAAAAAACUAGUCACGUCAUUCUUUCCUCUAGUCGUGUCAUCUCCUUUCUCCAGUCGCAAUCGCCACCACUCCAAUAAUAAAUGGAUAAGGUGAAGAAAAAGAAGAUGAGGAGUUAGAGAUUAGAUUAAGCUUCUGUCAAUUGGUUUCCUCUAAUUGCAAAAGGAGAGUGAAAAGUUGAGAGUGCGAUUGGAUUUGACAAAGGAGAACGAAGUUCUAACAUCACAAUUGAAGGUUUUUGUGACUACAAGUCAGGGGCGCAAGUCUAGCAACUUUAGAGGUAUCAAUGAUGAUGUUUCAGAAGAUAACAAUACCUAUGUUAAAUUGGAAGGCCAUAAUAUGGAUGUACGACUUAUUAUAUUAUGUCUUUUGUUGUUAGUUUCAAACAAGCACAUGGUAGACCUCUUUUGUUAGCACCUCAAUAAGUCGGGAUAUUUAUGUUAGCUUUUGGGACAUACACUUGGUGUAUGUGCUGGACUGUACUUCAAUUGUUGAUUAAUGAAGUAUUCCUUAUAUUUGUAA